rnacentral:rRNA from 1 species
UCCAGACUCCUACGGGAGGCAGCAGUGGGGAAUAUUGCACAAUGGGCGCAAGCCUGAUGCAGCCAUGCCGCGUGUGUGAAGAAGGCCUUCGGGUUGUAAAGCACUUUCAGCGGGGAGGAAGGCGUUAAGGUUAAUAACCUUGGCGAUUGACGUUACCCGCAGAAGAAGCACCGGCUAACUCCGUGCCAGCAGCCGCGGUAAUACGGAGGAUGCGAGCGUUAUCCGGAUUUAUUGGGUUUAGAGGGUGCGCAGGCGGCACGGCAAGCCGGCGGUCAAAUCGCGGGGCUCAACCCCGCCCAGCCGUCGGAACUGCCGGGCUAGAGUGGGCGAGAAGUGCGCGGAAUGCGUGGUGUAGCGGUGAAAUGCAUAGAUAUCACGCAGAACUCCGAUUGCGAAGGCAGCGCACCGGCGCCCUACUGACGCUCAGACACGAAAGCGUGGGUAUCGAACAGGAUUAGAUACCCGGGUA